CGUACACUCCUACGGGAGGCAGCAGUGGGGAAUAUUGCACAAUGGGCGCAAGCCUGAUGCAGCCAUGCCGCGUGUAUGAAGAAGGCCUUCGGGUUGUAAAGUACUUUCAGCGGGGAGGAAGGCGAUAAGGUUAAUAACCUUGUUGAUUAACGUUACCCGCAGAAGAAGCACCGGCUAACUCCGUGCCAGCAGCCGCGGUAAUACGGAGGGUGCAAGCGUUAAUCGGAAUUACUGGGCGUAAAGCGCACGCAGGCGGUCUGUCAAGUCGGAUGUGAAAUCCCCGGGCUCAACCUGGGAACUGCAUUCGAAACUGGCAGGCUAGAGUCUUGUAGAGGGGGGUAGAAUUCCAGGUGUAGCGGUGAAAUGCGUAGAGAUCUGGAGGAAUACCGGUGGCGAAGGCGGCCCCCUGGACAAAGACUGACGCUCAGGUGCGAAAGCGUGGGGAGCAAACAGGAUUAGAAACCCGGGUAGUCCCAUGAU
rnacentral:rRNA from 1 species